AACGAACGCUGGCGGCGUGCUUAACACAUGCAAGUCGCACGAGUGGCAACACUAGUGGCGCACGGGUGAGUAACACGUGGGAAUCUGCCCUAAAGUUUUGGAUAACUAUUGGAAACGAUAGCUAAUACAAGAUGAUCUGGUAACAGGAAAGAAUUUAUACGCUGUAGGAUGAGCCCGCGGGUGAUUAGUUAGUAGGUGGGGUAAGAGCUUACCAAGACGAUGAUCAAUAGCUGUUCUGAGAGGAAGAUCAGCCACACUGGGACUGAGACACGGCCCAGACUCCUACGGGAGGCAGCAGUGGGGGAUUUUGGACUAUGGGGGGAACCCUGAUCCAGAAAGGCCGCGUGAGUGAAGAAGGCCUUCGGGUUGUAAAGCUCUUUUACUGAUGAAGAUGAUGACGGUAAUCAGAGAAUAAGUUCCGGCAAACUUCGUGCCAGCCGCCGCGGUAA
rnacentral:rRNA from 1 species